CCGCUGGAGCCGUGAGCCGUACCUUUUGGAGAUGGCAACACAAAUACUGGAAACCCAAGCGGAUGGGAAUUGCCCCGUUCUUCCAGGCCAUCGUCGGCGGAAUGGUGUUCUUCUAUGCCAUCAACUGCGGCAAACGGAAGCAUCACAGGAACUACAA
rnacentral:lncRNA from 1 species